AUGUCAAUAACUUACCACAAGUCAAAAGUGUCUUUGCGAGAGUAGUUGUUAAGUUCCCUAGGCGUCGUAAUAGUCAACACUACAUCCUACAGGACAUCACUGUGAGUCACUUCAACAAGCAUUGAAAUAGAGCCAAUAUAUUCAUGUUAUUAUAAUUAAAUUCUUUGACUCAUACAACAUGUAUUCCCAAAUAUCUAGGGAUCCAAAAUCGAAGCAAUUUCUAACGGCCAUAAUGUCCAACGGUUCGAUGCCUUACUCACACAAGGAUGCACAUAUACAUUGUAUAGAGUGGCAUUUUGUCUAAACCGGGAGGAACUUCAAUUUCGCAAUAUUGGUCAUGGGCUAGAGUUGGGAUUGAUAACACAUACUAUUGUGGAUCCAUUCACGAAGCCAAUCCAAUUUCCUCCAUUUCCAAAGUAUCUUAUGCCAUUUCAUGAGGUUUACCAACAACCGCAUAAGACAUUCGUAGAUGUUAUUGGCAUAGUUCUUCAUUUGGAACCAUUAAAGCAUAUCGGUGGAAGACCGUAUAGAGAAGCUGUACUAAUGGAUUCUAGGUGGGAUCUAAUCAUCGUGGGGGUAUGGACUGACCUCUUGCAAAGAAAUGCUCUACGAUGGUCGUUAGCUAGAGUUGACAAGAACAUCAUUAUUGGAACUUUGCUGCGUUGUAACCAU